ACACCGUUUGUCUAAGAACUGUAUCUCCUCUUCCAGUUUCAGUUUUGGGGUUUUAGGUUUUGUGAGAGAAAAUUUCAAUUUUUGAGAAUUUGAUGCUUCUGAUUGAAAAUUCCUUCAAGUUUCGCUACGGCUAUGAAUUCUGGCUAUUCUCUGCACAACAUUGAGCCUCUUAAUGGCUCAAAUUUUAAAACAUGGAAAGAGCGUAUUGAGCUUUAUCUUGGCCUCCAAGGACUUGCUGUGUGUUUUAGGGAGCCUCAACCUGUUUUGAAUGAGACUAGUACUGAGGCGAUAAUUGUGAAACACAGGGAGUGGCAUAGGACCAAUAGAAUGGCCAAACUAAUUAUGAAACAAACCAUGUCACCUGUGGUGAGGGGUGGUGUCGCUGAACCUGAUACGGCCUUGGGAUUUAUGACUGCUAUUGGCCUGAAGUUUAAGGAGAAUGAGAAAGCAGAGAUUUCAGCCUUACUAGAUCAGCUUUUAGGCAUGAAGUUUGACACCUCAGAGAGUGUUAGGGAGCAUAUAAUGAAAAUUAUUCACAUAACCACUAGACUUGGUGAACUGGAGACUGUGUUCCUUGAUGCCUUCAUUGUUCACUUGGCCCUGAUCCGUCUUCCUCCUAGUUUUGGCCCACUGAAGACUGCAUACUUUUCACAGAAGGAAAAAUGGGACUUGAAUGAGCUUAUAGCAAUUUGUGUGCAGGAAGAAGAGCUAAUUAAGAGCCAUGGGACUGUGUCUGUGAAUCUAGUUAACAAGCAGAAAUGGAAGGGUAAGGGCAAAGCUGUAGCGUCUAGUGCUGCAAAUUCUGGUGAGGGCAUGUAAUAACCUGUUUUAACAACUCUAGUGGAUUUACUGUUAAUAAAGGAAAAAGGGUGGCAGACAACUUUCUGAUUUUAGGGAGUAAAGCUCGGAGAUGUGUUUAUUUUUCCUGUUUAUGCAUAAUUGAUGAGAGCUAACAAGCAGAUUAGCAUCUCUCUCACUCACUCUGUUUCACUUCAAAAAAAAACAGAGCAUUAGUUCUCUAACUCUGUUCUUCCUCCAUCAACCACCUCCAAACGCCGGAUCACUCCAUUUGGCUUCGCCUGAGGCUGCUCUACCUACUGGACGUCGUCUUUUUUUUCCCGGCACAGCCUCAAGGUCCGGCAAACCAGCUCGACCCGGUUGCACCCGAAAACGAACCAACUCAUCCUCCUCGUGUUUCCGGCCACCAAUCCCCCCCAAACUUCAUCCUCGAGCUCGCCUCAACGUCCUGAAGCUCCCAGAAGUAACCUUGCGCGGCGGCACGGCCGGCAGCGACGGCGGCGACCCGGAGUCCGGUUUAGCUCGUUUUCGUUCCAAACUCGAUAUCUCGAACUACAGAGCACCAUUUCACUUGAUUCUUGGCUCAUUGAGCUCGCCUCAUCUUCCUAUACAAGCACCAAGAAGGAUCGGAACUGGAUCGAACGUUUUUACGUUCGUCGGAGCUCGACCCGUGCGGAUCGAACAACCAACCUUCGGAUCAAGAUAUCUCGAGCUAUACACGAUCGUUUCUUGUGAUUCUUGGCUUGUUGAGUUCAUAAGGAAGUUCUGAACAAUUCUCCAGAAGGGAUCGAGGCGUGAGGUUGUAGUUUUCACGUCGAUUUUGGAGCUCGCCGGUUUCUGGAAAAAUUCCGGCCACCGACUGAUUUUUGGUGAUCGACGGUUGGAUUUGGCGGACGAUUCGUGAAAUUGUAUUUUGAGCUGUUAAGAAGACGCAGCGGGAAUUUAGAGCGGGAAAUCCUACAGGUCAGGAGAACCAGGACGGUGAUCGGGCUGCUUAGAGUAGUGUUAUGUGAAUUACAGCAUUAUAUUGUGAGGUGUGUUAUGCUCAUUUAGAGCUUUGCAAUUUUACUUUGUAAGAGUGAAUUGUAAUAAUUAACUCGAGGUUUUCGAGUUUUUGUGUUGAGUGGCGAGUGGUGUGUUUGUUUGUGAGAAAAAAAUUCAGAACGUUAUUUGUAUUAAUUGUUUAUUCAUGUUUCGGAUUUGAA